AGCUAUGAUGUUGUAAUUUGCGUCUGACUGGUAGUCAUGACGACAGUUGCCUGCUGUCACCAUGUCAGAUUACCAAACUGUAGACAACUUCUCUCUGACUGCU